rnacentral:rRNA from 1 species
GACGAACGCUGGCGGCGUGCUUAACACAUGCAAGUCGAACGGAAAGGCCCUGCUUUUGUGGGGUGCUCGAGUGGCGAACGGGUGUGUAACACGUGAGUAACCUGCCCUUGACUUUGGGAUAACUUCAGGAAACUGGGGCUAAUACCGGAUAGGAGCUCCUGCUGCAUGGUGGGGGUUGGAAAGUUUCGGCGGUUGGGGAUGGACUCGCGGCUUAUCAGCUUGUUGGUGGGGUAGUGGCUUACCAAGGCUUUGACGGGUAGCCGGCCUGUGAGGGUGACCGGCCACAUUGGGACUGAGAUACGGCUCAGACUCCUACGGGAGGCAGCAGUGGGGAAUAUUGCACAAUGGGCGGAAGCCUGAUGCAGCAACGCCGCGUGCGGGAUGACGGCCUUCGGGUUGUAAACCGCUUUCGCCUGUGACGAAGCGUGAGUGACGGUAAUGGGUAAAGAAGCACCGGCUAACUACGUG